UUGCUUUGGAAGCACAUAUGCUAACGUUGGAGCAAUACAGAGAUUAGCGUGGCCCCUGUUCAAGGAUGACAUGCAAAUCUGUGAAGCGUUCCAUUAAAAA
rnacentral:snRNA from 1 species